rnacentral:rRNA from 1 species
GGAACAAGGAGUGCCCUUCGGGAACCUGGAGACAGGUGCUGCAUGGCUGUCGUCAGCUCGUGUCGUGAGGAUCGUAGGGUUAAGUCCCGCAACGAGCGCAACCCUUGUCUUAAUUGCCAUUCAGUUGAGUUGGGCACUUUAAAGAGACUGCCGGUGUUAAACCGGAGGAAGGUGGGGAUGACGUCAAGUCCUCAUGGCCCUUAUAGGUGGGGCUACACACGUCAUACAAUGGCCGGUACAGAGGGUAGCCAACCCGCGAGGGGGAGCCAAUCCCACAAAGCCGAUCGUAGUCCGGAUCGCAGUCUGCAACUCGACUGCGUGAAGUCGGAAUCGCUAGUAAUCGUGGAUCAGCAUGUCACGGUGAAUACGUUCCCGGGUCUU